rnacentral:lncRNA from 1 species
AAAAUCAUUUUAAUCUGACUAACAUUGUCAUAAUUUAAUUCAAACAUUAACAAACACAAACAUCAUAGAACAAAGUAAUGCAUUAAUUAAAAAAACAUCUCGUAAUAUUACAAACAUUGUUCUCAAAGUAUGAAAAUAAAACUAAAAUAUCCCAAAAUACAAAAAAAAAACAUAACCUACUGCGUAUGCCUAAUCCUAACCCAUGAUUCCUCCUCUGCCGUCGGUAACUCAAGGCAUCAUGUGGCUUGGUAAGUAUGGCACGUGCGAGGACAAC